AGUGUUGCUCCUGCUGGUGGUUCGCCGGGCACUCAGGUGUCCGGCGAGGCAAGAGGGAACCCGGUGGGAAUCCGGGACUGCCCCGCAGCGGUGAGCGGGAACGACCGCCGUCAUACGCACUGGGCCCCCUGAGAAGGGCCUGGGAAGCGACGGUCAGUAGGAGUCUCGUACGACACGAGACGGGCCCGCGAGUCCGAAGACCUGCCACCGGCGCGUACACCGAG
rnacentral:ncRNA from 14 species